GGGGAGUACGGUCGCAAGACUGAAACUCAAAGGAAUUGACGGGGGCCCGCACCAGCGGUGGAGCAUGUGGUUUAAUUCGAAGCAACGCGAAGAACCUUACCAGGUCUUGACAUCCUCUGACAAUCCUAGAGAUAGGACGUCCCCUUCGGGGGCAGAGUGACAGGUGGUGCAUGGUGGUCGUCAGCUCGUGUCGUGAGAUGUUGGGUUAAGUCCCGCAACGAGCGCAACCCUUGAUCUUAGUUGCCAGCAUUCAGUUGGGCACUCUAAGGUGACUGCCGGUGACAAACCGGAGGAAGGUGGGGAUGACGUCAAAUCAUCAUGCCCCUUAUGACCUGGGCUACACACGUGCUACAAUGGACAGAACAAAGGGCAGCGAAACCGCGAGGUUAAGCCAAUCCCACAAAUCUGUUCUCAGUUCGGAUCGCAGUCUGCAACUCGACUGCGUGAAGCGGAAUCGCUAGUAAUCGCGGAUCAGCAUGCCGCGGUGAAUACGUUCCCG
rnacentral:rRNA from 1 species